AAAGUGUAAAAUUACCCGACACGGAAACCUUGUUUUAGACGUAAACUCGCUUCAUGUAAAUUUGAAAUCCGAUGUAAAUGGUUGAAUGCCACAUAAACACCCAUCAUGUAAAAUGAGAUUGUACGUAACCGGUGAAUCUCACGUAAAUGAAAAAAAUGUUAACGAAAACCCACAAAUUUGAAUGGAUGAAAAACAUGUAAACUGUGAAAAACAUUUAAAAACGUUUCAUGUAAAUGCUAAAAUAGUGUAAAAUCCCAAAAUUUUCCUUGCUUUUGUGUUUGACAGCUAGCAAAAUCAAAACAAUUAUGAGCUGCCGCGGGUCAGUUCGGUUGCUCGGAAAUGUAAGAUUCUUUCCGGCGGACCACUGUUAUGGUAAAAUUGGCAAUCUUUACCGAUGGUGGGGACACUUUUGGUCGGUGUUCAGAAACCGAUUCCUAUUUCCGAUUGCAUGUGAAGGAAAUAAGAAACAGAGAACAAGAGAAAAUCGAAAUAACUUUGUCAGCACAAGUCCAGAAGUCUUCAAGAAAUGUUUCUGGAUCUGCUUAUUUCAAAAGGUUCCGGAAGCUGAAGUGCACUUGCUUGUUUCUUAACGCCGGGAUUAAGGAUGUUGUCCAUUCGCUGCUGAUCCGGUUCUAUUAGCUAAAGUUGGUUUGUUUACAACGGGAGACCACUCGCUGCCGAUCCAAAAAC